rnacentral:lncRNA from 10 species
GGAAGAGAAGACAUUAAAAAUUCUCAAGAAGAGAGUAAAAAUAAUUUAAAGGGAGAGAAAUUACAUCACAGGAUCAAAGAGAUAAGAGAUUUAAAGAAGAAAGUGGUUUAUUUUUUUGCAAAGACAAGAAGUAGGCGUAGAACCAAGAGGAAGUCUCUCUUCUUUUGAUGAUUGGUUGUCUCCUGAUUUAUAAAGCAGAUUGCCAUAUAUCAUUGAGAAUAUAGUUUUAAUGAAAGGCUGGCAUGGAAGCUAUUUUGUAGUAGACUGAUUCUUCUGAAGUUGUUUUCACUCAACAAAAUAUAUUUUGGUUGCCUAUUUCUCAGAUAUUGUUCUAGUUGAUUAGAAUGAAAGAGAAGUGUCUUCCCUCAGUGAACUUACAUUCUGGGUAAAAAGACAAACAGUAAGCAGGUAUAGCACAUAUGUAUAAUGUACUGUUUCUUUGGAAAGUAUCAUCAAUAUAUAAUAUGACCACAUUACACAACGUAGUGUGAAGGCAUAAGGAAUAGAUAAAGAAGUGCAAUACAAAUGUAGCUUUCAAAAGAUUUAUCACAAAAAGUUUAGCUUCUAAGGAGGUGACAUUUAAGCAAUGCUCUAAAUAAAAUAGGGAAGUCAUUGUGGUAUUAUGAUAAAGAUGUUUUAAAACAAUGACAUCUAGUUUUUUUAUAAUUAUUUAAUAAAUUUCUGAUGCUUUGAUUAAAAAAAAUCCCUAAAUGAAAUGUUAUACAGAUAGAAGUUAUUUAUUUUUACAUUGCUUAAAAAUAAUCCAUUUGUCUUAGUCCAGUUGGGCUGCUAUUACAAGUUACCAUGGAAUGUGUGGCUCACACAUAACAGAAGUUUAUUUCUCACAGUUCUGGAGGCUAGGAAGUUCAAAAUUAAGGUACGCAGAUGUGGGGUUUGGGUGAGGGUUUGCUUCUUGAUUCAUAGAUGGCUGUCUUGUUUUUGGGUCCUCACAUUGCAGAAAGGGAAAAGAAGUUCUUUGGGGUGCUUUUUAUGAGGGCACUAAUUCUGAUAAUGAGGGCUCCACCCUCAUAACCUAAUCACCUUCCAAAGGCCCUCUUCAAAGGCCUUACCAUCACAUUGGGGAUUCGGUUUCAAUAUGUACAUUUUCAGUGGGUGCACAAUCAUUGAAUCAAUAACAGAAUUUUUCAUUUUUGUCACCAGUUCCUAGGGCCUAAAAUUAUAGCCAAGGAAGCUAUAUGAAUCCUUGUAUUCAUAGACUGCCUCAAAUUUUGACUUUAUCUCCAAAUUUGCUGUCAAGAUUAAAAGAAUAAAUUUUUUGUCACAUAACUCGUGGUUGGUAUUGUGAAUGCUCAACUGUAUCCAGUUUUCCUUUUCUUCUUGACUCAGAGAAACUGCAUUUUCUACUCACCCUUCAGUCAUCAGGAAUCAGGGCCAUGAACUCGUUCUAGACUAUGGACUGUAGUGGAAGUUAAAAAUAUCACAUCUGGCCCACACAAAGUGUAAUAUCUCCAAGAGUACCUUUCCUCCAUUGCAACAACCAAGGAAUCUACCUAUUUCAAAUUCUAGAGCUAUAAAGUUGUAGAGUUUGUUUUAGCUUGGAUCACUGAGUGACAGAUUGGGAAAGACACUUUAAGUGAUAAACAAAUCUGUAUGUGUUAAACCACUGAAAUAUUCUUUGGCACAAGAGCUGUGGUUGCAUAUAGAAGUUCCAUGGAUGAACUAUAAUUGCCCAGAUGAACUGUUGAGGAACAGCUUGUAGGAAUGAAAAGAAAGUAAAGGGAAAGGAUAGGAAGAUAAAGACACAUGGCAAAGUUUUCUGGAUUUUGCCUAUCUCAUUUUAGACAGUUUACAGAAGGAAAUGAACAACAGCCUAAUUUUCAAGGAAUAGAGAUGCCAAAAGAACAGUCAAUGAGCAUGAUAGGUUAAGAACCUUUUCUACUGCUCCCUUCAGAUAGAUGCAGGUGGGAGCCAUUCAGGCAGAUGUUUUGGGGAAAGGAGGACAAAAUAUUGGAAAGCUCAGGGAAAGAAGAAAUUUGUUUUCUUUUUCCCCUAUGGGAGUGAUAUUUACUUACAUCUUCAAAGUGGGAGGAGUAUAUCCCUCUUUUGGGUCUUCAAGGAUGGUGACUUACUCUUCCUCAAUUGGUGGCUAUUUUUGAGAGACCUAGUGAUCAAAAUGCAGGUCUUAGAUUUGUGGGCCAGGUUGUUGCUAUCACUAAUAAGUUAUGGAAUGGCCUCUAGAAAAAGCCAUACCAGUUCUGCAAGUCUCUUUCUAUGUGGUCUAUAAAAAGAUGGAAAAAUGGGAUUGAGAAAGUACCCCUCAUAGGAGAUAUGCUCUUUAAGACACUCUAACACAUUGCUGCUAUAAAAUCGAUUAUAUUUUGUCAUGUGUCAACAUGAUUUUCUUGGAAUCUCCUUGACUUACAUAUGCCAAAUAUGAACCAUUAAUGAUGCCCUUAAAAAUCCAGUAAUAUUUUACUUAGGGUGUGGGGAUGGUGGUGAAAAACUUAUGAAAGGACUAGGCAUCACUUUUGAAAGUACUAGGUCUGGCGAUCUUGCUUCCUGGUGCUCCAAUUUUGGCCUGAUUUUACAAACACCGAAUAUUACCUGAGUAAUGACUGAGUAGGUAUUCAUUCAGAAACAAUACCUGUGUGGUAGAUUCUAGAUGGCUAUAAUUUUUUUUAAUAUACUACUCCAGUGAAGAGGUUGGAUGAAUAUUUUCUUUCCUUUAAGCUGGCAGGCUUUGACACUGCUUUGAACAUGCUGGAAGUGAUGAUCUGUCAGUUUCUGGUCCCAAGUCAUGAGAGAUGGACAGCUUCCACACUUCCUGUGUCUUCUUAACACUUCCUCCUGAAGUUCUGAGCCACCACCUAAGAAGUCCUGCUGCCCAGAUGGAGAGACAACUUGGAAGGGGUCUGAGACUACAUGUGGAUGGACACAGGCCCACUUGAUACCAGUGUUUUAGCCAUCCCCAUCAAACACCAGCUCAUCUUAAUACAUCAGUGUGAUGCGUCAAGCUGAGCAUCAUCACUAGGAAGCUGCACAAGGUGGUUUUGUUCAACUGA